UACAGAGGUCCCGAGCGUUGUUCGGAUUCACUGGGCGUAAAGGGUGCGUAGGUGGUGAGGUAAGUCGGAUGUGAAAUCACCGAGCUCAACUCGGAAAUGGCAUUGGAAACUACCUUGCUUGAGGGUUGGAGGGGGGACUGGAAUACUUGGUGUAGCAGUGAAAUGCGUAGAUAUCAAGUGGAACACCAGUGGCGAAGGCGGUUACCUGGAAGAUUCCUGACUCUGAAACACGAAAGCCAGGGGAGCAAACGGG
rnacentral:rRNA from 1 species